CUAGUCGCAUUAAGCUAUAUGUUUGUGCACUGGACUCAAGAUGAAAGAGCUGUUGAAGCCAAUACCAUCUAGCAUGCCUAUAGCAGAGCCAACAACUCCAACUCCCCUUCUUCUCGGCACCAUGGCCAUACAUGUAGAACCAUCUUUACAUUACCAACACGGUGACAGACGCUCCCCUCACCUGUGAGCUAUUGUUGCUUUAGAUGGGGAAAUUAAAUUGAGUUCAUUGUUGACUUUAGGUUAGAUAAAUAUUAUCAACCAGCAGGUGUCGCGCUUACUCAUGAUGGCAGGCCAGCCUUGGAGCACCAGGGUCCCCUCGCCAUCCCUCUACCCCCGCCCCUUGGUCCCCAUGCCCCCCACCCUCUAACCCCCUCCUCCAGAGGUAAGGGCCUCAGUGUGUGUUCUCUCCCCUCCUCUACCCACCCCAGCAGCGGACACACAACACAAGCGUCUCCCUGGCUUCCGCUUCCUCCGCGCUGCUGCACCACUGCUGGGGUAUUCACGCUCCAGGCUGUUUUCUUUCAGAGACUAGAAAAAUAUGCAAAUGGCUAUUGUUAAGAGCCAAAAGUAGAGGGUAUUUUUCUCCCCGUACGCCGCUUGUGUUCCUGGUGAGUAUAAUGUGCAGAGAGGGCUGAGGGGUUUCCUUCAGUCUUUAGUCUCUCUCUCACACACAGGCUCACAAAGAGCUGGAGAUGACCAGGUACAGAGGAAGGAUAUUAGAAAUAUUCUCUUGGGAAGCCAUUGUCUCUUUCCAUUGUGGUCAUAUUCAUAAGAGAAUAUGACCACAUCUGUGUAAGAGAGAGAGAGAGAAAGAGAAAGAGCGAGAGGGAGAAAGAGAGAGAGAGAGAGAGAGAGAGAGAGAGAGAGAGAGAGAGAGAGAGAGAGAGAGAGAGAGAGAGAGAGAGAAAGAAAGAGAGAAAGAGAGAGAUAGAAAAAGAGAGAUAUAGAGAGAGAGAAAAAAGAGAGAUAGAGAUAGAGAGAAAAAGAGAGAGGUAUUAGGAUGAAAUCCAAGCUUCACCACGGGUAGUAGCAGCUAGGAAGUCAGGCCUUUAUAUAAAGUCCCUGAGCAGAGAGUGAGAGAGAGAGAGAGAGAGAGAGAGUGAGAGAAGAGAGAGAAAGUAAGUAAGGAGCCACAUUUGUAAAGCCCUCACGGUCUCAAGCAG
ensembl:lncRNA